rnacentral:tRNA from 1 species
GUGGCAAUGGUGUAACCUGGCAGCAUAACAGACUGUGGCUCUGUUGGCGCGGGUUCAAAUCCCGCUUGUCACC